GAAAAGUGAAAGGGGGGAAGAGGUUUGGUUGGAAGAAAUUAAUGGAAGGAGAUGAAAGAAAACAAUAAUCCUUGAUGCUAAAAGAAAUCUUUUUAUGUAUAAGCACCAGAAAUCAUCAUUGAAAUAUCAGGGGAAAAUAAUAAAAAGAGAACUUACUAGUCUAAUAUGUCCGUUGCCUCUUUGUCUGUGAAAAAUUGAAUUUCUGACUUACUCCUUUAAUCUUUUAACUUUUGCCUUUUCACAUUAGGAUCUGCAAAAAGUAAUGUUGGACUGUAUUUUUG
rnacentral:misc_RNA from 1 species